ensembl:lncRNA
AUUCCAUUUGAUCACUUUGCAAACAUUAUGGGAACAUUACUUCUGAAUGUUCACUGAAUGUUCAAAACGUCCAGUUUUGAAAAUAAUUUGAAAAGUUUUUUUUCUGGUUAUGCAAAUGUUAGAAAUGUUCAGGUUUAUAAUUUUGCAAACAUAGGAACUUUCGAAUGUUCUCUGAACAUUCUGAAACAUUUUUAAAAAAUGUCCAAAGACAUGUAAAAAGUUUUGGGGAAAAAUGUUCCAUGAAUAAUAACCUUUUAAAGAUCAGAUAACUUUGAAGAAGUGUUCUAACGCUACUGGAAGAACGUUUGUCAACCUUAGCCAAAGUUCUGAGAAUUCUAAGAUCUGACGGAACGUUUUUAGUAUGUUCUGGCAAGUUAUGAGCAACCAUUCUUCCAGUAACAUUAACAGAACGUUCAUUCAAAGUUAUGAGGUUUUUAAUAAUGUUCUCAAAACGACAGGACAUGCUAUGGAACUUGUUUUCUGAAAAGAUUUGGUUGGAACGUUUUUUUAAAUGUUACUCCUUCCUUCGGAACAUGCAGAGAACAUUCAAAAGUAACAUUCGCAAAAUCUUUGCAAAAAAUGGAAUGUUCCCUGAACGUUCUCAUAACCAACAAAAACGUUUUUGUAUUAAAAAAAAAACUAGAAGGGAAGGUAAAUGAUUGGUUUAAUGCUCAUUUGAGAUUUCAUCUUUCCAGGCUGCGUCCUAAACCCUUGUUUGAGGUUCCCUGUACACCUGUAAUUGUUUAUUCGGAGACGCGAGGCCCGGCGCAGAUGCUCUUAUCCAAAGUGACUGUGCUGGCAAACCAAAUGCUGAGGAAAAAACUUGACAAAUGCAAAGAGGGUAAGUUCAAGUUAGCAAUUAAAAACAUUCUAAAUGCAUCUGAAAUAUUUACUUAAGCAUGUCUGUUCAAACAAUCAAACAGCACAUUGGUUUGGUCCUCCACUAGGGGGCGUGUUAUGCUGAUAAUUCGCACGCUCUUAUGUGUUUAUGACUCAGACUUGUUGCAUUCUUGCAUUAUUUCUCAUGUGCACUAAUAUUGUCCCACUGUAAGUAGGUUUACCGUGGUGAACUGGGCCACUGCAGCAUAUUACAGACUCACCUGGGGACUUUUUUAUCAUCUUUAAAAGCUGCAUUUAUAUCUCAAGUUCAUUUGACUGAUUUGUGAUAAAAUUCAACAUGAUAAAUUGCAUAAAUGGCAAAUUUGAUCAAUUUAAAUGCAACUUUAGUUGAUGUGAAUGCAAAAUAAUUUUAUUUAUAGAUAUAUGUGAAAUAUAAUAUAUAUUUGCUAAUGUAUUUCAAAAUAUAUUUGCAUAAAUAUAUUUUCUAUCAAUAUAGUUUUUUGGAAAUGUUUCGUAUGUUUUUUGAAAGUACAUUUUAAAAAUAUAAAUAUAUUUUUAAAAGUAUAUAUUAAGUACAUAUGAAGCCUACAUUGCCGUAUAUUUGAAUCCAAGAAAAUACAUUCGCAUUUGAAGAAAACUUUAUUUGUUGUCUAUAACACGUGUGAUCAAAUAACACAUAUGAAUAUAUAAAAGCGAGGAACAAACCUUUACAAUGUUUAAAAAGAGUACAUUGUUACAAUAUAUAAAUAAAAAAUUAAGCAUUAUGAAGUCAUUACAAUAAUUAGCCUAAAUGUAGAAUAUUGUAAGAUUGGACAUGUGUUUUCUU